rnacentral:rRNA from 1 species
UACGAAGGGGGCUAGCGUUGUUCGGAAUUACUGGGCGUAAAGAGUGUGUAGGCGGUGCUCUAAGUUCGGUGUGAAAUCUCCCGGCUUAACUGGGAGGGUGCGCCGGAAACUGGAGUGCUCGAGCGUGGGAGAGGAGAGCGGAAUUCCUGGUGUAGCGGUGAAAUGCGUAGAUAUCAGGAGGAACACCUGCGGUGUAGACGGCUUUCUGGACCAUUGCUGACGCUGAGACACGAAAGCGUGGGUAGCAAACAGG